rnacentral:rRNA from 1 species
CCCUUAGAUGUUCUGGGCCGCACGCGCGCUACACUGAUGCAUUCAACAAGCCUAGCCUUGACCGCGAGGUCCGGGUAAUCUUUGAAACUGCAUCGUGAUGGGGCUAGAUUAUUGCAAUUAUUAAUCUUCAACGAGGAAUGCCUAGUAAGCGUGAUUCAUCAAAUCGCGUUGAUUACGUCCCUGCCCUUUGUACACACCGCCCGUCGCUCCUACCGAUUGAAUGUGUUGGUGAGGAGCUCGGAUUGGCAGCAGUUGGUGGUUCGCCACCGGCUAUUGCUGAGAAGUCCUCCAAACCGCCCCAUUUAGAGGAAGGAGAAGUCGUAACA